CUCGCCAAGGACGCCUAUCUGCAGAGCCUGGCCAAGAAGAUCUGCUCCCAUUCGGGCCCGGAGCAGCAGGCGCGGACGCGGGCUGGCAAAACUCGAGGCUCAGAAGCUGCAGGGCCCCCAAAAAAGAAAAGGAAGAAAACACAAAAGAAAUUCCGGGAGCGGGAAGAGAAGGCUGCUGAGCACAAGGCCAAGUCCUUGGGAGAGAAGUCUCUAGCAGCCUCUGGGGCCAGGAGGCCUGAGGCAGCCAAAGAGGAAACAGCUUGGGCUUCCAGUUCAGCAGGAAACCCUGCAGAUGGCCUGGCCACUGAGCCUGAGUCUGUCUUUGCACUGGAUGUUCUGCGACAGCGACUGCAUGAGAAGAUCCAGGAGGCCCGGGGCCAGGGCAGUGCCAAGGAGCUGUCCCCUGCCGCCCUGGAGAAAAAGCGGAGAAGAAAGCAGGAACGGGACCGGAAGAAGAGGAAGCGAAAGGAGCUGCGGGCGAAAGAGAAGGCCAGGAAGGCUGAGGAGGCCGCGGAGGCCCAGGAGGCGGUGGAGCCAACGCCAGAGGGGGCCUGCACGGAGCCGCGGGAGCCACCGGGGCUGAUCUUCAAUAAGGUGGAGGUGAGCGAAGACGAGCCGGCCAGCAAGGCUCAGCGCAGAAAGGAGAAGAGGCAGAGGGUGAAAGGGAACCUCACGCCGCUGACCGGGAGGAACUACCGGCAGCUGCUGGAGCGCCUGCAGGCACGGCAGAGCCGGCUGGACGAGCUGCGCGACCAGGAUGAGGGGAAGGCGCAAGAGCUGGAGACCAAGAUGAAGUGGACCAACCUCCUAUACAAGGCGGAGGGCGUGAAGAUCCGCGAUGACGAACGCCUGCUGCAGGAGGCCCUGAAGCGGAAGGAGAAGCGCAGGGCGCAGCGACAGCGCGGGUGGGAGAAGCGCACGGCCGGCGUGGUGGAGAAGAUGCAGCAGCGCCAGGACCGGCGUCGGCAGAACCUGCGCAGGAAGAAGGCGGCCCGCGCCGAGCGCCGCCUGCUCAGGGCCCGCAAGAAGGGCCGCAUCCUGCCGCAGGACCUGGAGCGCGCAGGCCUGGUCUGAGCCUUUCCCACCGGGGGUGCCGUCUCUGUCCUGGGAGGCUCCAGGGGACCCUCUGAGUCCUUGAUGCGGGCUCUGUCCCAGGAUCUCCACAGACCGCGGCCUCUGCGUGUGAGGGGGACACUGUCGUGCUCUGCUGAGUUGUGAGGGCUCAGAUCACGUGUGUGAAAGAGAAUGUUUCUGCGUCAUCCUUGAAAACAGGGUCUGGGGCCUUCAGACCCAGGGAAAGGGCGAGCCACACUGGGGCCCAGCCUGCUUUCCUGGGCCCGAAAGCUUCCCCGAGGUUUGCAGGGUCAGGGAGGAGGAACGGUGGGGGUGGGCAGUCACUGCCCCUUCCCCCCUGCCUGUGUUCUCAGGAGCCACAGGACAGAAGAGGGUGGCCUCUGCUGCCGAGCCACGUUAGUCCGCAGCUGACUAGAACAGAGGACAGCCCUGAGGUGUGGCGUGUGGGCACCUUUCACUCGGGAGUGGUGGGAGCACGUCCAGGCGUGAUGCGUCCUGGGGCAGAACGCCACGUCUCCUCCCCCUUCUCUUGGCUUCUGCCUGUUGGGGUCUCAUUCCUUUCUGUUCCUCAGUGCCUCUGGGCGGCAUUUCACCUCCGAAUUCAGAGGGAGGGAGGGAGCAGUACCUUCCCAGAGUCCACGCGUGUGAGUUGGGUCAAGUGCAUUGGCCCAAGGGAAAGA